CCAUCAGGUCAAGCUGGGGACUCUAAUGAAACUGCCUACGCAAGUAGUGAGGAAGGUGGGGAUGACGUCAAAUCAGCACGGCCCUUACGUCCAGGGCUACACACGUGCUACAAUGGCCGGUACAAAGGGCAGCUACCUGGUGACAGGAUGCUAAUCUCAAAAGCCGGUCUCAGUUCGGAUCGGAGUCUGCAACCCGACUCCGUGAAGUUGGAUUCGCUAGUAAUCGCGCAUCAGCCAUGGCGCGGUGAAUACGUUCCCGGGCCUU
rnacentral:rRNA from 1 species